CCUACGGGUGGCAGCAGUGGGGAAUAUUGGACAAUGGGCGAAAGCCUGAUCCAGCCAUGCCGCGUGUGUGAAGAAGGCCUUCGGGUUGUAAAGCACUUUCAGUGGGGAAGAAAGCCUUGGGGCUAAUACCCUCGAGGAAGGACAUCACCCACAGAAGAAGCACCGGCUAACUCCAUGCCAGCAGCCGCGGUAAUACGGAGGGUGCGAGCGUUAAUCGGAAUUACUGGGCGUAAAGCGCGCGUAGGCGGUCUGAUAAGCCGGUUGUGAAAGCCCCGGGCUCAACCUGGGAACGGCAUCCGGAACUGUCAGGCUAGAGUGCAGGAGAGGAAGGUAGAAUUCCCGGUGUAGCGGUGAAAUGCGUAGAGAUCGGGAGGAAUACCAGUGGCGAAGGCGGCCUUCUGGACUGACACUGACGCUGAGGUGCGAAAGCGUGGGUAGCAAACAGGAUUAGAUACCCGUGUAGUC
rnacentral:rRNA from 1 species